rnacentral:rRNA from 1 species
GACAGAGGUCCCGAGCGUUAGGCGGAAUCACUGGGAUUAAAGCGUGUGUAGGCGGAUUUGUAAGUACCUUGUGAAAUCCCACAGCUUAACUGUGGAACUGCUUGGUAUACUGCUUAUCUUGGGCCACUUAGGGGUUACCGGAACAAACGGUGGAGCGGUGAAAUGCGUAGAUAUCGUUUGGAACGCCAAUGGUGAAAACAGGUAACUGGGAGUGUGCCGACGCUGAGACACGAAAGCCAGGGGAGCGAACGGG